rnacentral:rRNA from 1 species
CCUACGGGGGGCAGCAGUAGGGAAUCUUUCACAAUGGGCGAAAGCCUGAUGGAGCAACGCCGCGUGCAGGAUGAAGGCCUUCGGGUUGUACACUGCUUUUAUAAGCGAGAAAUAUGAUGGUAACUUAUGAAUAAGGAUCGGCUAACUACGUGCCAGCAGCCGCGGUCAUACGUAGGAUCCGAGCAUUAUCCGGAGUGACUGGGUGUAAAGAGUUGCGUAGGUGGCAUAAUAAGUAGCUAGUGAAAUCUGGUGGCUCAACCAUUCAGACUAUUAGCUAAACUGUUAAGCUCGAGACCGUUAGGGGUAACUGGAAUUUCUAGUGUAGGAGUGAAAUCCGUAGAUAUUAGAAGGAACACCAAUAGCGUAGGCAGGUUGCUGGGACGGUUCUGACACUAAGGCACGAAAGCGUAGGGAGCAAACGGGAUUAGAUACCCGAGUAGUC